rnacentral:rRNA from 1 species
CCUACGGGAGGCAGCAGUGGGGAAUAUUGCACAAUGGGGGAAACCCUGAUGCAGCGACGCCGCGUGAGUGAAGAAGUAAUUCGUUAUGUAAAGCUCUAUCAGCAGGGAAGAAAAUGACGGUACCUGAGUAAGAAGCCCCGGCUAACUACGUGCCAGCAGCCGCGGUAAUACGUAGGGGGCAAGCGUUAUCCGGAUUUACUGGGGGUAAAGGGAGCGUAGACGGCAGUGCAAGUCUGGCGUGAAAGGCGGGGGCUCAACCCCCGGACUGCUCUGGAAACUGUACGGCUGGAGUGCAGGAGAGGUAAGUGGAAUUCCUGGUGUAGCGGUGAAAUGCGGAGAUAUUAGGAGGAACACCAGUGGCGAAGGCGGCUUACUGGACUGUAACUGACGUUGAGGCUCGAAAGCGUGGGGAGCAAACAGGAUUAGAUACCCGGGUAGUC